UGCCCGUGAAACGAAUCUAAGUUCUCUCUUAAUUUCUCUGCCCCCCGGACAUCUAACCACAACCACCAUGUGGCAAAUCAAGAGCAAUUUAAAGGAGGUACAGCUCCUUUAAAAGAGAAUACAACCUCCCCUAGCGGAUAACUACCCAACUGACCCCAAACUGUAGGCCCUCAAGCAGCCAUCAACAAAGAGUGCGUCAAAGCUCUACCCCAAAAAAUCCAAAAACAAUAGGACUCCCUUAUCUAUAGCGGGCUAACCUAUAAUAAUAGGAGAAUUAAUGCUAAAAUGAGUAAUCGGGGGCCACCCUCUCGAGCGCAAACUUACAUCACCACAUUAUUAACAAGCCUUAAACUAAUACUCCAACCUCAAACAAGCUAAGUAUUAAACUUGCCCUGUUAGCCCGACUCAGGAGCGCCCAUUAGAAAGAUUCAAAUCUGCAAAAGGAACUAGGCAACCCCAAGGCCCGACUGUUUACCAAAAACAUAGCCUUCAGCCAACCAAGUAUUGAAGGUGAUGCCUGCCCAGUGACACUCUGUUCAACGGCCGCGGUAUCCUAACCGUGCGAAGGUAGCGCAAUCAAUUGUCCCAUAAAUCGAGACUUGUAUGAAUGGCUAAACGAGGUCUUAACUGUCUCUUGCAGACAAUCAAUGAAAUUGAUCUUCCUGUGCAAAAGCAGGAAUAAACCCAUAAGACGAGAAGACCCUGUGGAACUUAAAAAUCAGCGGCCACCACAUACAACCCAAAACCUACCAGGCCUACGGCCCCAAGUAAAACACUGGCCCGCAUUUUUCGGUUGGGGCGACCUUGGAGAAAAACAAACCCUCCAAAAACAAGACCACACAUCUUGACCAAGAGCAACCUCUCAACGUACUAACAGCAACCAGACCCAAUAUAAUUGACCAAUGGACCAAGCUACCCCAGGGAUAACAGCGCAAUCCCCUCCAAGAGCCCAUAUCGACAAGGGGGUUUACGACCUCGAUGUUGGAUCAGGACACCCUAAUGGUGCAGCCGCUAUUAAAGGGUUCGUUUGUUCAACGAUUAACAGUCCUACGUGAUCUGAGUUCAGACCGGAGCAAUCCAGGUCGG
rnacentral:rRNA from 1 species